rnacentral:lncRNA from 1 species
UCAUUUCCCUUCUCUUUUAGUAUCUGGCUGUCUCAGAACAUAAAAAAGGGGCUGGGAAUUGGGCUCAGUACCAAAAAAAUAGAGAAAGAACAGAAAGGCUCGUGGAGGACAGCACAGCUGUCUGCAUGCAUGGGUCAGACAGUCCACUGGCAGGAUUACCAAACAGUGGCUGUGGAGGCAGGAAAGGCAUGUCUGGGGUCAUCCUCGCUAGUGGGUAGCACAGCCACUGGUCUGCAGUGAUUAUUCUGUCCCCCUCCCUCUACUAAUCUCAUUUGCUUGUUGAUGUUCCAGCCAUAAUCUUAGGAACACACCUCAUUUGACUUGCUCAGAAGUGUGGCUUUGGUUACAGGCCUGAAAGAGGAAAGACAUAAUGCUGAUAAGUAAAUUGCGCAAGGUCAAAAUACUAAUAAAUAAGAAUUUGAACCUGGUUUUGAUUCCAAAGUCCAAGAGGACCCUUCAGCUGCAUCCACCCUUCAGUCCACACCAAAACUUUCGGCCAUACCAGGAGCUGUAACUGGAUGAGUUUCCAUCAUUCCUGACAGCAUUCUUUCAUCCCUGCUCGCAACACUCAACAUGUCUGUCUUCUCACCUCCAUUUCUCCAAGUGAGUUCUGAAGGAAAAUGACAGAAACCGUUCUAGAGCAGAACUCGUCCGGAUACUAAGGUGAUAACACCUGCAAGGCAGCGAGGCACCUUCCAGAUCAAUCUCCAGAUGCAGUAAUUGUCUCAGUCUCAGUUUCCCAAUGUUGGACCGAGUACACUUUUGCAUAGGAAAGCAGCAUACAAGUGGGGGUCUGUAUUAAUUUAAACCUAAUCUUGAUAAAUAGUUACUAUAUUGUCAUUGUCUCAAGAUCAAAAUUGCUGUUAAUAUUUCUAUAUUUUGUAGAGGGAAAAGAGAGAGGAAAAAAAUAGUUAUUUUAAUCUAGCAUGGCCAGUGUAGCUAAAAGUGUGCCUUGAUUUAGUAUAAUUGUUUUAUGUGUUUUAUAUGUUUUUGGCUAGUUAAUCUGGCUGUUAAUCUGUGUUUAUAGUUAACUUGGUAAAGACAUAAAAUAAAUAAAUCUAAUGCUGGCCAAAAGAGAGAAAAAAUAUUUUUUAAUUAGGGUGGAAGGGAAGGAGAAAAAAAGAAUUGAGAUGUAUUAUAUGAAUAUACUGAUACCCCACAACAAGUAUAAUCAUAAUAUACUGCAAACAUGCACUAAUAAAAAAUUUUUAAAAUAUACCUGUGUUUUGUUACUGCAACGGGUAAGUUCCGCCACGCCCGGCUUGGACAGCUCUUCUUGCUGUGGUACUGAGCAGGAAGAGGCUGGUCAAGGUGGGCACUCACUUACUAGUGGGAUUAGAGGAUGCACAGCCCUCCUCUGCCUCGUGAUCACAACCCUCGGCUUAACAGUGUGCCCAAAAUUCCCAGUUGCCCAUCUUCUGGGGGAACAUAAAGCCUUGAAAUCUCAUCUUUGAUAAUUGAUACUCGGAAUGAACAUGUUGCUGUUCUCCAAUAGCAUAGUCCACCACGCCCGGCUUGGACAGCUCUUCUUGCUAUGGUACUGAGCAGGAAGAGGCUGGUCAAGGUGGGCACUCCCUUACUAGUGGGAUUAGAGGAUGCACAGCCCUCCUCUGCCUCGUGAUCACAACCCUCGGCUUAACAGUGUGCCCAAAAUUCCCAGUUGCCCAUCUUCUGGGGGAACAUAAAGCCUUGAAAUCUCAUCUUUGAUAAUUGAUACUCGGAAUGAACAUGUUGCUGUUCUCCAAUAGCAUGGUCCACCACGCCCGGCUUGGACAGCUCUUCUUGCUAUGGUACUGAGCAGGAAGAGGCUGGUCAAGGCGGGCACUCCCUUACUAGUGGGAUUAGAGGAUGCACAGCCCUCCUCUGCCUCGUGA